AUUGAACGCUGGCGGCAUGCUUUACACAUGCAAGUCGAACGGUAACAGGCCGCAAGGUGCUGGCGAUUGGCGAACGGGUGAGUAAUGCAUCGGAACGUGCCCAGUCCUGGGGGAUAACUACUCGAAAGAGUAGCUAAUACCGCAUACGAUCUAUGGAUGAGAGCGGGGGACCGUAAGGCCUCGCGCGAGUGGAUCGGCCGAUGUCAGAUUAGGUAGUUGGUGGGGUAAAGGCUCACCAAGCCAACGAUCUGUAGCUGGUCUGAGAGAACGACCAGCCACACUGGGACUGAGACACGGCCCAGACUCCUACGGGAGGCAGCAGUGGGGAAUGUUAGACAAUGGGCGCAAGCAUGAUCCAGCAAUGCCGCGUGCAGGAAGAAGGCCUUCGGGUUGUAAACUGCUUUUGUACGGAACGAAACGGCUCUGGUUAAUACCCGGGGCUAAUGACGGUACCGUAAGAAGAAGCACCGGCUAACUACGUG
rnacentral:rRNA from 1 species